AAGACACAGAAGAGUCAAUGAUUCAACACAAAGGUGGGUGGUUGGGCCAUACAGAGGGAUAACCUAAACACACUAUGGGGGUGGGAGGGAGAGGGCGGUCCGGGGGACCACAGUCGAGUGACCGAGAGUUCUCUGGAGGGCGAUCUGGAGGACGGUCUGGAGGGCGAUCUGGAGGACGGUCUGGAGGACGGCCUGGAGGACGAUCUGGAGGACGAUCUGGAGGACGGCCUGGAGGAUGGUCUGGAGGACGAUCUGGAGGACGGUCUGGAGGAGGGUCCGGAGGAGGGUCUGGAGGGACUGCCAUCGAUGAGAGACUGGUCCGUGGGCUCAGGUGUUCUGCCUAUGGGAGACAAGGAGCAGGAAUCGCUGCCUCCGGCGGCAGGAAACAUGGAGCUGAACUUGGGGCCAGGAGGCUGGUUGCCAGAGUCGGAAGCGCCGGCUGGACUUGGGCCGGAAUUGGAAGUUACGAUGUCAGGCGUCGAGGGGCCCAGAUCACAGGGCCGGAAUCCGGGGUCAGAAGUCGAUUGUUUUGGUGUCCUUAAGACGCCUAAUGUACUUACGAUGUAUCUAUUUUUCCCUUUUUCUCGUGUAAUAAAAUCUAUUUUAUACUUAACAUUUUAGUAAUAAUAUAUGUUUACAAUAUUCAAGGAGAGACUAGUUAAUCCUAAAAUCAUUUUGGUGACACCAAACAUCUUGAGCCAAAUUAGGAGAAGCGGUAGCAGUAAAAGUCUAUUCUGGAUCCAAAGUUACAGGUCAGAAAUGCUGCCGGUUUAAACAAGAGUUUGGUGUGAGUAUCUUACAACAGCAUCCUACAUCGGACACACAAGAAGCCUGAAGUGAGCUCUGAGGCAGACUGGCACGCAGACUUCCUGUCUCCUUGUAGCAUUGAAGACCGACCGAUCAUCUUUGCACGAUGCUUACAGCAGCCACUCAAGCCCCAGAGGAAACAGUCCUCCAGAGGAAAGUUUCCUCUGGGCCGCGAUGGCUUGCCACCACAUAGCAACGGAGGUCCCCAAUGUAGGGUUUAUAGAGCGUGACUGAGUCUUUCCCACAGUCCAAACGCCCACUGUAAGCAUCGACUUAGACAAGCCAGGGCUACUACGUGGGUGACCAGCGUCUUCCCAGAAUGCAGAUCUAUACAAUUGCUGCAGGACACUCCCCAAACUGCUCAACAUAGUGAGCAGCAAUCUGCUGACAUGAAAGGGUUACACCCGACUGAAAUAGCUUGAUGAGUUCAAGUUGUUUCAGAUGUCUCCAGUUUGGUUACAUACAGUAUAAGAAUAUUUCCGUCAUGUCAAUGAAAUGCUGUAGAAACAAAGUUAAAAUAUGUAACAUGUUGACACCUGAAAAGCUUGGAACUUCAUCAGCUAAUUCGCCGGAUGGUAGACCCUCACGUCACCAGAAAUACACCAUCCCAGGGCCACUACGAUGGGUGGGGAGCCCCCCAGGAAGCCUGACCACAGUCAAAGGAAAAGAAAAAAAAAACAGUGACCAGUGGUUUUGCCGCGGCCGGCCUCAGAGCUUCAGAGCUGUCCAGGUGUCCUCUGCGGAGAUGUUGAAGAUACUGAGGUUAAUUCCUA
ensembl:lncRNA